AGUUUCGGAUUUUACUUUGGCCAACAAAGGAAGAAGCGAACCUUCUGGCAUAUGAUAAGUGUGCAUAUGAACUACCGCUGUGCGGCCUUCGACUGUCCGUCGUCUACAGUCCGUCGUCUACCGUCUACCGUCUGUCGUCAGUUGUCUGCAUGUGUGGCUCUGUUGCCAGACGCGUUUCAAAUUCUAAAAAAAAA